AGAGUUUGAUCCUGGCUCAGGAUGAACGCUGGCGGCGUGCUUAACACAUGCAAGUCGAACGAUCCUUCGGGAUAGUGGCGGACGGGUGAGUAACGCGUGGGAAUCUGCCCUCAGGAGGGGGAUAACGGCUGGAAACGGCCGCUAAUACCCCAUAUGCCGAGAGGUGAAAUGAAUUUCGCCUGAGGAUGAGCCCGCGUCUGAUUGCUAGUUGGUGGGGUAAAGGCCUACCAAGGCAACGAUCAGUAGCUGGUCUGAGAGGAUGAUCAGCCACACUGGGACUGAGACACGGCCCAGACUCCUACGGGAGGCAGCAGUGGGGAAUUUUCCGCAAUGGGCGAAAGCCUGACGGAGCAACGCCGCGUGAGGGAUGAAGGCCUCUGGGCUGUAAACCUCUUUUCUCAAGGAAGAAGACCUGACGGUACUUGAGGAAUAAGCCACGGCUAAUUCCGUGCCAGCAGCCGCGGUAAUACGGGAGUGGCAAGCGUUAUCCGGAAUUAUUGGGCGUAAAGCGUCCGCAGGCGGCCUUGUAAGUCUGUUGUUAAAGCGUGGAGCUCAACUCCAUUUAAGCAAUGGAAACUACAAGGCUGGAGUGUGGUAGGGGCAGAGGGAAUUCCCGGUGUAGCGGUGAAAUGCGUAGAUAUCGGGAAGAACACCAGUGGCGAAGGCGCUCUGCUGGGCCAUAACUGACGCUCAUGGACGAAAGCCAGGUGAGCGAAAGGGAUUAGAUACCCCUGUAGUCCUGGCCGUAAACGAUGAACACUAGGUGUCGGGGGAAUCGACCCCCUCGGUGUCGUAGCCAACGCGUUAAGUGUUCCGCCUGGGGAGUACGCACGCAAGUGUGAAACUCAAAGGAAUUGACGGGGGCCCGCACAAGCGGUGGAGUAUGUGGUUUAAUUCGAUGCAACGCGAAGAACCUUACCAGGGUUUGACAUCCUGCGAACCCCUGAGAAAUCGGGGGGUGCCUUCGGGAGCGCAGAGACAGGUGGUGCAUGGCUGUCGUCAGCUCGUGUCGUGAGAUGUUGGGUUAAGUCCCGCAACGAGCGCAACCCACGUCUUUAGUUGCCAGCAUUCAGUUGGGCACUCUAGAGAGACCGCCGGUGAUAAACCGGAGGAAGGUGUGGAUGACGUCAAGUCAUCAUGCCCCUUACAUCCUGGGCUACACACGUACUACAAUGCUACGGACAAAGGGCAGCAAGCUCGCGAGAGUUAGCAAAUCCCAUAAACCGUGGCUCAGUUCAGAUCGUAGGCUGCAACUCGCCUACGUGAAGGAGGAAUCGCUAGUAAUCGCAGGUCAGCAUACUGCGGUGAAUACGUUCCCGGGCCUUGUACACACCGCCCGUCACACCAUGGAAGUUGGCCAUGCCCGAAGUCGUUACUCCAACCCG
rnacentral:rRNA from 1 species